UACGGAAGGCAGCAGUGGGGAAUAUUGCACAAUGGGCGAAAGCCUGAUGCAGCUAUGCCGCGUGUAUGAAGAAGGCCUUAGGGUUGUAAAGUACUUUCAUCGGGGAGGAAAAAACAAAACUAAUAAUUUUAUUUCUUGACGUUACCCGAAAAAGAAGCACCGGCUAACUCCGUGCCAGCAGCCGCGGUAAUACGGAGGGUGCUAGCGUUAAUCAGAAUUACUGGGCGUAAAGAGCACGUAGGUGGUUUUUUUAAGUCAGAUGUGAAAUCCCUGGGCUUAACCUGGAACUGCAUUUUGAAACUGAAAUACUAGAGUAUCGUAGAGGGAGGUAGAAUUCUAGGUGUAGCGGUGAAAUGCGUAGAUAUCUGGAGGAAUACCUGUGGCGAAAGCGGCCUCCUAAACGAAUACUGACACUGAGGUGCGAAAGCGUGGGGAGCAAACGAGGGAUUAGACUACC
rnacentral:rRNA from 1 species